CCUACGGGAGGCUGCAGUGGGGAAUAUUGGACAAUGGGGGCAACCCUGAUCCAGCCAUGCCGCGUGUGUGAAGAAGGCCCUCGGGUUGUAAAGCACUUUCAGUGAGGAAGAACGCCUGGUGGUUAAUACCCAUCAGGAAAGACAUCACUCACAGAAGAAGCACCGGCUAACUCCGUGCCAGCAGCCGCGGUAAUACGGAGGGUGCGAGCGUUAAUCGGAAUUACUGGGCGUAAAGCGCGCGUAGGUGGCUUGAUAAGCCGGUUGUGAAAGCCCCGGGCUCAACCUGGGAACGGCAUCCGGAACUGUCAAGCUAGAGUGCAGGAGAGGAAGGUAGAAUUCCCGGUGUAGCGGUGAAAUGCGUAGAGAUCGGGAGGAAUACCAGUGGCGAAGGCGGCCUUCUGGACUGACACUGACGCUGAGGUGCGAAAGCGUGGGUAGCAAACAGGAUUAGAUACCCUUGUAGUC
rnacentral:rRNA from 1 species